AGUGAACGCUGGCGGUAGGCCUAACACAUGCAAGUCGAACGGCAGCACAGAGGAGCUUGCUCCUUGGGUGGCGAGUGACGGACGGGUGAGGAAUACAUCGGAAUCUACUCUGUCGUGGGGGAUAACGUAGGGAAACUUACGCUAAUACCGCAUACGACCUACGGGUGAAAGCAGGGGACCUUCGGGCCUUGCGCGAUUGAAUGAGCCGAUGUCGGAUUAGCUAGUUGGCGGGGUAAAGGCCCACCAAGGCGACGAUCCGUAGCUGGUCUGAGAGGAUGAUCAGCCACACUGGAACUGAGACACGGUCCAGACUCCUACGGGAGGCAGCAGUGGGGAAUAUUGGACAAUGGGCGCAAGCCUGAUCCAGCCAUACCGCGUGGGUGAAGAGGGCCUUCGGGUUGUAAAGCCCUUUUGUUGGGAAAGAAAUCCAGCUGGCUAAUACCCGGUUGGGAUGACGGUACCCAAAGAAUAAGCACCGGCUAACUUCGUGCCAGCCGCCGCAGUAA
rnacentral:rRNA from 1 species